CACGUAGGCGGAUUGUUAAGUCGGGGGUGAAAUCCCGGGGCUCAACCCCGGAACUGCCUCCGAUACUGGCAGUCUUGAGGUCGAGAGAGGUGAGUGGAAUUCCGAGUGUAGAGGUGAAAUUCGUAGAUAUUCGGAGGAACACCAGUGGCGAAGGCGGCUCACUGGCUCGAUACUGACGCUGAGGUGCGAAAGCGUGGGGAGCAAACA
rnacentral:rRNA from 1 species